rnacentral:miRNA from 1 species
UGCUGCUCAGGGACGGGGCGA